rnacentral:rRNA from 1 species
UACGAAGGGGGCUAGCGUUGCUCGGAAUUACUGGGCGUAAAGCGCACGUAGGCGGAUUGUUAAGUCGGGGGUGAAAUCCUGGAGCUCAACUCCAGAACUGCCUUCGAUACUGGCGAUCUCGAGUCCGGGAGAGGUGAGUGGAACUGCGAGUGUAGAGGUGAAAUUCGUAGAUAUUCGCAAGAACACCAGUGGCGAAGGCGGCUCACUGGCCCGGUACUGACGCUGAGGUGCGAAAGCGUGGGUAGCAAACAGG